CGUGCACGCUGGCGGUAGGCCUAACACAUGCAAGUCGAACGGCAGCACAGUAAGAGCUUGCUCUUACGGGUGGCGAGUGGCGGACGGGUGAGGAAUACAUCGGAAUCUACUUUUUCGUGGGGGAUAACGUAGGGAAACUUACGCUAAUACCGCAUACGACCUACGGGUGAAAGCAGGGGAUCUUCGGACCUUGCGCGAUUGAAUGAGCCGAUGUCGGAUUAGCUAGUUGGCGGGGUAAAGGCCCACCAAGGCGACGAUCCGUAGCUGGUCUGAGAGGAUGAUCAGCCACACUGGAACUGAGACACGGUCCAGACUCCUACGGGAGGCAGCAGUGGGGAAUAUUGGACAAUGGGCGCAAGCCUGAUCCAGCCAUACCGCGUGGGUGAAGAAGGCGUUCGGGUUGUAAAGCCCUUUUGUUGGGAAAGAAAAGCAGCAGGUUAAUACCCCGCUGUUCUGACGGUACCCAAAGAAUAAGCACCGGCUAACUUCGUG
rnacentral:rRNA from 1 species